GAUGAAGAACGUAGUGAAAUGCGAUAAGUAGUGUGAAUUGCAGAAUUCAGUGAAUCAUCGAAUCUUUGAACGCACAUUGCGCCCUUUGGUAUUCCUUAGGGCAUGCCUGUUCGAGCGUCAUUUAAACCUUCAAGCUAAGCUUGGUGUUGGGUGACUGUCCGCUUCACGGCGGACUCGCCUCAAAAUUAUUGGCGGCCGGUACAUUGGCUUCGAGCGCAGCAGAAACGCGAACUCGGGCCCGUCGUAUUGGCUCCCAGAAGCUAUCUUCACAAUUUUGACCUCGGAUCAGGUAGGGAUACCCGCUGAACUUAAGCAUAUCAAUAAGGCGGAGGA
rnacentral:misc_RNA from 1 species